CGCUGGCGGCAGGCUUAACACAUGCAAGUCGAGCGGGCGUAGCAAUACGUCAGCGGCAGACGGGUGAGUAACGCGUGGGAACAUACCUUUUGGUUCGGAACAACACAGGGAAACUUGUGCUAAUACCGGAUAAGCCCUUACGGGGAAAGAUUUAUCGCCGAAAGAUUGGCCCGCGUCUGAUUAGCUAGUUGGUGAGGUAACGGCUCACCAAGGCGACGAUCAGUAGCUGGUCUGAGAGGAUGAUCAGCCACAUUGGGACUGAGACACGGCCCAAACUCCUACGGGAGGCAGCAGUGGGGAAUAUUGGACAAUGGGCGCAAGCCUGAUCCAGCCAUGCCGUGUGAGUGAUGAAGGCCCUAGGGUUGUAAAGCUCUUUUGUGCGGGAAGAUAAUGACGGUACCGCAAGAAUAAGCCCCGGCUAACUUCGUGCCAGCAGCCGCGGUAAUACGAAGGGGGCUAGCGUUGCUCGGAAUCACUGGGCGUAAAGGGUGCGUAGGCGGGUCUUUAAGUCAGGGGUGAAAUCCUGGAGCUCAACUCCAGAACUGCCU
rnacentral:rRNA from 1 species